GGCGGCAGGCCUAACACAUGCAAGUCGAGCGGCAGCGCGGUGGUAGCAAUACCAUUGGCGGCGAGCGGCGGACGGGUGAGGAACACAUCGGAAUCUACCCUGUCGUGGGGGACAACGUAGGGAAACUUACGCUAAUACCGCAUACGACCUUUGGGUGAAAGUGGGGGACUCGCAAGAGCCUCACGCGAUUGGAUGAGCCGAUGUCCGAUUAGCUAGUUGGCGGGGUAAUGGCCCACCAAGGCGACGAUCGGUAGCUGGUCUGAGAGGACGACCAGCCACACUGGAACUGAGACACGGUCCAGACUCCUACGGGAGGCAGCAGUGGGGAAUAUUGGACAAUGGGGGCAACCCUGAUCCAGCCAUGCCGCGUGGGUGAAGAAGGCCUUCGGGUUGUAAAGCCCUUUUGUACGGGAAGAAAAGCUUCCGGUGAAUAUCCGGGGGUCAUGACGGUACCGUAAGAAUAAGCACCGGCUAACUUCGUGCCAGCAGCCGCGGUAAUACGAAGGGUGCAAGCGUUACUCGGAAUUACUGGGCGU
rnacentral:rRNA from 1 species